AACGAACGCUGGCGGCAGGCCUAACACAUGCGAGUCGAGCGAGGACUUCGGUUCUAGCGGCGGACGGGUUAGUAACGCGUGGGAACGUACCCUUUUCUACGGAAUAGCCUCGGGAAACUGAGAGUAAUACCGUAUACGCCCUUAGGGGGAAAGAUUUAUCGGAGAAGGAUCGGCCCGCGUUAGAUUAGAUAGUUGGUGGGGUAAUGGCCUACCAAGUCUACGAUCUAUAGCUGGUUUGAGAGGAUGAUCAGCAACACUGGGACUGAGACACGGCCCAGACUCCUACGGGAGGCAGCAGUGGGGAAUCUUAGACAAUGGGCGCAAGCCUGAUCUAGCCAUGCCGCGUGAGUGAUGAAGGCCUUAGGGUCGUAAAGCUCUUUCGCCUGUGAAGAUAAUGACUGUAGCAGGUAAAGAAACCCCGGCUAACUCCGUGCCAGCAGCCGCGGUAAUACGGAGGGGGUUAGCGUUGUUCGGAAUUACUGGGCGUAAAGCGCGCGUAGGCGGACAUUUAAGUCAGAGGUGAAAUCCCAGGGCUCAACCCUGGAACUGCCUUUGAUACUGGGUGUCUUGAGUUCGAGAGAGGUGAGUGGAAUUCCGAGUGUAGAGGUGAAAUUCGUAGAUAUUCGGAGGAACACCAGUGGCGAAGGCGGCUCACUGGCUCGAUACUGACGCUGAGGUGCGAAAGUGUGGGGAGCAAACAGGAUUAGAUACCCUGGUAGUCCACACCGUAAACGAUGAAUGCCAGUCGUCGGGCAGUAUACUGUUCGGUGACACACCUAACGGAUUAAGCAUUCCGCCUGGGGAGUACGGUCGCAAGAUUA
rnacentral:rRNA from 1 species